UCCGCUAGUAGUGGCGAGCGAACGCGGAAGAGGCCAAACCGGAGGUAGCAAUAUUUCCGGGGUUAGGACUGCAAUAUGUAACUUUAAUCUUUAACUGAAUGCUUUGGGAAGAGCAGCGAUACAGGGUGAUAGCCCCGUAAGUGAAAAGGAUUGAGUGCUAGCAGUAUCCAGAGUACCAGCGGACACGUGAAACCCGCUGGGAAGAUGGGGGGACCAUCCUCCAAGCCUAAAUACUACUCAGUGACCGAUAGUGGAGCAGUACCGUGAGGGAAAGGUGAAAAGUACCCCGGGAGGGGAGUGAAAGAGAACCUGAAACCUUGUGCCUACAAGCACCGAGAGCACGUUAAAGUGUGAUCGGGUACUUUUUGUAGAACGGUCCGGCGAGUUAAUAUUUGCAGCGAGGUUAAGGAACUGGAGUUCCGGAGCCGCAGCGAGAGCGAGUCUGAAUAGGGCGUAUGAAGUUGCAGGUAUUAGACCCGAAACCGGGUGACCUAUCCAUGAGCAGGCUGAAGCGGUGGUAAGACACCGUGGAGGGCCGCACCCACGUCUGUUGAAAAAGCCGGGGAUGACUUGUGGAUAGCGGAGAAAUUCCAAUCGAACUCGGAGAUAGCUGGUUCUCCCCGAAAUAGCUUUAGGGCUAGCGUUAUUUUAGAUUACCGGAGGUAAAGCACUGAAUGGUCUAGGGGCCGCGAGGUUACCAAAGCCUAUCAAACUCUGAAUGCCGGAUAAUUGAUGAAUAGCAGUCAGACUGUGUGAGAUAAGUCUCAUAGUCAAAAGGGAAACAGCCCAGAUCUACAGCUAAGGUCCCAAAUGAACACUAAGUGGAAAAUGAUGUGAAACUGCGAAGACAACCAGGAUGUUGGCUUAGAAGCAGCCACUCAUUCAAAGAGUGCGUAAUAGCUCACUGGUCGAGUGGUUUUGCGCAGAAAAUGUAACGGGGCUAAGUGUUCAACCGAAGCUUAGGCAUUGCAGUAAUGCAUUGGGUAGGGGAGCGUCGUAUGCGGGGCGAAGUCAGAGCGGAAGCACUGGUGGACUGCAUACGAGUGAGAAUGCCGGAAUAAGUAGCGAGAAUUAUGUGAGAAUCAUAAUGGCCGAAAAUCUAAGGUUUCUUGGGGAAGGUUCGUCCGCCCAAGGUAAGUCGGGAGCUAAGCUCAGGCCGAAAGGCGUAGGCGAUGCACAUACGGUAGAAAUUCCGUAACCACCGAACAUUUAAGCUAGAGGGACGCUUUCUUUAAGGUUAUCCCGGGCGAUGGUUGCCCCGGGCGUAAGGGACCGAAAUUUAGUAGGGAAGUAACUGGCGAGAGAGACGAGAAAAGCUCUAGUGUAUACUAAGGUGCCCGUACCGCAAACCGACACAGGUAGAUGGGAUGAGUAUUCUAAGGCCAACGGGAGAAGGGUUGUUAAGGAACUCGGCAAAUUGGCCCCGUAACUUCGGGAUAAGGGGCGCCUGCGAGAGCAGGCCGCAGUGAAAAGGCCCAAGCGACUGUUUAGCAAAAACACAGCUCUCUGCUAAAUCGAAAGAUGACGUAUAGGGGGUGACGCCUGCCCGGUGCUGGAAGGUUAAGGGGAGUGCUUAGCGCAAGCGAAGGUGCGAACUUAAGCCCCAGUAAACGGCGGCCGUAACAAUAACGGUCCUAAGGUAGCGAAAUUCCUUGUCAGGUAAGUUCUGACCCGCACGAAUGGCGUAACGAUUUGGGCACUGUCUCAACAGCCCGCCCGGCGAAAUUGUAGUACCGGUGAAGAUGCCGGUUUCCCGCAACUAGACGGAAAGACCCCAUGGAGCUUCACUGUAGCUUGAUAUUGGAUCUCGGUAUUCCAUGUACAGGAUAGGUGGGAGGCUAGGAAGCGAGCGCGCCAGCGUUCGUGGAGCCGCCCUUGGGAUACCACUCUUGGGAUAUUGGAGUUCUAACCUGCGACCAUGAAUCUGGUCGGGGGACAUUGUCAGGUGGGCAGUUUGACUGGGGCGGUCGCCUCCAAAAGAGUAACGGAGGCGCUCAAAGGUUCGUUCAGCACGGACGGAAAUCGUGCACUGAGUGUAAACGCAUAAACGAGCCUAACUGCGAGAAUGACGGUUCGAGCAGUAACGAAAGUUGGAGUUAGUGAUCCGGCGGUAUGUGAAUGGAAAUGCCGUCGCUCAACGGAUAAAAGCUACCCUGGGGAUAACAGGCUGAUCU
rnacentral:rRNA from 1 species